rnacentral:rRNA from 3 species
CAACUUUCAGCAACGGAUCUCUUGGCUCUCGCAUCGAUGAAGAACGCAGCA